GGGUGAGUAACACUGUGACUACCUACCCUUGUAGUGGGGGAUAACCUCGGGAAACCGAGGCUAAUACCGCAUAAUAUCGAAAGAUCAAAGGAGUAAUCCGCUUUUGGAGGGGGUCGCGGCUGAUUAGCUAGUUGGUAGGGUAAUGGCCUACCAAGGCGAAGAUCGGUAUCCGGCCUGAGAGGGCGCACGGACACACUGGAACUGAAACACGGUCCAGACUCCUACGGGAGGCAGCAGUGGGGAAUUUUGCGCAAUGGGGGAAACCCUGAUCGCAGCAACGCCGCGUGGAGGAUGAUAGCCCCUUGGGGUGUAAACUCCUUUCGACUGGGAAGAUUAUGACGGUACCAGUGGAAGAAGCACCGGCUAACUCUGUGCCAGAGCCGCGG
rnacentral:rRNA from 1 species